UAAUGAUAAAGGCAAACUUUCCGAAAGGAUAGGACGCAAAGCCGCGGGUCUAACAUUCUUAUGAAUUAUGACAGCCAGGUUGCCAAA
rnacentral:ncRNA from 1 species